AAAAAUUACUUUACAAUAAUUGUCAAACAAAACAGUAAAUGGGUUCAAAACUUACAACCAUUUUAGCUCUCAAAGAGAACAAAUUAAAGCACUUCUAAAGUGCCACUUCGCUGGGUUGUAGCUUUCCAUGCAUGAUCGCACAUAGGCAUAUUUUUCUGUUUGGAAUAUGAUGACAUGAACAUCAACAUAUUGCCAUUCCUGGAUGCUCAUCGAUCGGACAUCGGCGCCUUCGAUACCAAAUGCAAAUUUCAAUCUAGAAGCUAACUACCAAAUGCAUAGUUCAAUUGUUUUUUUAUUUUCAAUAAAAUUGACUCGCUAACCGAUCGCCAGGUUCAUUCAGAACCAAACCAAAAAUAAAAUAAAAAAUUGCACAGUUCAAUCUAGAAGCUAACUAGUUAGACAAUGUGAAACUUUAUGCUUUAAUAUUAAUAAACCAAAAUAAAAAAAUGGGCAAGACAAUAUAAAGCAUAAAACAUAGGGCGUGGUGGAGAUAAACGGAAAAAGUAGCUUGAAUUCCAGUUAUAGAAAAUCCACCAUCUUCAUCUUGCCAAUCUUGGGACUUCAGUGAAUCUCUCUUUAUUACUUUGAAGUUUGAAGUGACCUCUCUGCACUGACACCAAUCAAUUCCCUAACCAUUGGUGGUGGAGUUCCCUUUAUGCUUUGAGCCCGUCCAUCAAGAAUCCAAUAAGCUUGUGAAAAAGGCAUUUUCAUAUGUUCAGUUAGGUUAACAAAGUGUCGCGCAUUCAACAAUUUCUCCCCUUAAUUUCCUGAAAUGUAAAAGUUGAGUUUCCUUUAUAAGUGUGUGUGUGAAUGUUUCAAUUCAUAGUAAUGUGUUCCGUUUUUGCUUUAAUAUCUUUAAACAGAAGAAAUAAUAA
rnacentral:lncRNA from 1 species